rnacentral:rRNA from 1 species
UGGGGAAUAUUGCACAAUGGGCGCAAGCCUGAUGCAGCCAUGCCGCGUGUAUGAAGAAGGCCUUCGGGUUGUAAAGUACUUUCAGUCGGGAGGAAGGUGGUAAGGUUAAUAACCUUAUCAAUUGACGUUACCGACAGAAGAAGCACCGGCUAACUCCGUGCCAGCAGCCGCGGUAAUACGGAGGGUGCAAGCGUUAAUCGGAAUUACUGGGCGUAAAGCGCACGCAGGCGGUUGAUUGAGUCAGAUGUGAAAUCCCCGGGCUUAACCCGGGAAAUGCAUCUGAUACUGGUCAGCUAGAGUCUUGUAGAGGGGGGUAGAAUUCCAUGGGUAGCGGUGAAAUGCGUAGAGAUGUGGAGGAAUACCGGUGGCGAAGGCGGCCCCCUGGACAAAGACUGACGCUCAGGUGCGAAAGCGUGGUGAGCAAACAGG